UCUCGUUCGUCUCGCUCUGGAUCGACUACAACUCUUGGAAAAGAAGCUCGUUCACGAGGCCUACCUCGACCUUUCGGAAAUCAAAGACAUAUUUAAAGUGUUUUUUAGCUUAAUAUUAUUUUUAAACCAGUUAAAACUAGUUAUUUUUCUUACUUUUUUAAGAAGAUGUCGAAGUUACUGUUACUUUACAACAACAUUUUGUUUUUUACGGGACUACGCGAGAAUCCUCGGUCUCAAGUGGAAACCAUGCCGGCGUGAUCAGUGUUAUUUUAAGUACUUCAACUGGGAAAAUCCGACAAAAGCCUGCGGUGUUUAAUACAAUAACGGUGAAAGACUUUACCGUAAUUAAAACGGGAAAGAUUGAAAUACUCGUUUUUAGAGCAAAUUUCGUUAAUGUUAUCUACAUUUUAUUUAUAUUCUGAAAUAGGGACGAGAUUGGAAGGCCACGUCUAAAACGAAGUGACACAGCUUGGCUUUGGCGGUACCAGAAGUGUUUUCCCCAUGGAAGGACCUGGUUGUUGCCACUAGACAUUGUUCACAAAACUCUUGCUACAGAACAUUACCACAAGACCAAGAGGUCUUCAACUGAAACUGUACUCCUAAAAGCUGAUGUAACAUAUUGUAGAAUGUUGUCCCCCUUUAACAAUUUUUUUGUUUGUUUGUUCUUGCAUGAGUGUGUAGCCAGGAGGACUUUUUAAAGAGGAGAGCAAAUAGAUUUAACAGGGAAGUUGUUACAGAUAUGAUCACAUUGAUUGCACUGCAUCGGUUGAUUUUAAACGGCAUGUUCAUAAACCAAUCAGUUUGCAUUACCGAUUUGCAAAUACUUUUCUUAGUGGCUAGGCUCUUCUGUAUGCUGCUCCUUUUUAAAGUAUAGAAUGGUAGUUGCAAAUGUACACCCUGAUUGUUGAGCAAUGAACUGAUUGUAACUGUAUUUUGUUUAAAGUAAUAAAGAAAUCAAAGUUA